AUCCGAUUAUUUUUUAAAUUUCUCACACCCUAAUCCGAGAUUAUCGUGAAAGCACUGCCCCUCAAUCAUACAUGCCUUUGGGCGUGGCCCGUACUUCCUACUGGUUAACAACAGGUUGGCUGCUCUGCGUCCCUGCAAACGCCGUUUUAGUUGUAAAUCAUUGCUGGAUUUCGGGCUGUUGAUUGAGUGCCGUUGCAGGAUGUCGAGUUGCUGACUUUUGGAUCUGAUGUUAAUAGUCCAACUAUGAGUAGGAGCCUUAGCAUGUCACAGGUAAGUGGCCAUUGCCUCCGAGACAGGUCAGAGGUCACGAGCCUAUACCCAACGCUAAAAUUGAUAUCUAGCCCGGAAACAUGCAGAGAAAAGGGAGGUCCUGACUGGUAGUGGUGAAGCAGCGGUGGGACCCCGAACACAAAAUUUGACGCCCAAGGCCAGUUAGGCCCCUACCAAGUCAACAAGAAAGACAUGAAAAGGAUGGCAUAGUAGAGAUAUUAGAUCUCCUUUUUCAUCUUGGGAUCCCUACCUCCCUAUUAAACAAUUAAAAUAGCCACAUGAAGCCAAUAACCCCAACCUCUUCUGCCGUCGCCUUCACGAGUCCUCCAUUUCGACUUUCUUCUCUUCUUUCCUAUGCAUGACUCCCAUUAGCUCCUUGGAUAAAGGGAUUCUUUUUGACUUCAAAGCACACUGUAGACAUUAGACACACUCUUGUUUUAUUGCUAACUAACACACGCAAGUGUUCCAGAACACAUUGCCCGUAAUCUAAUCCUCAAUCAACGACUUCAUUUUCACGUUGAUGUCUUCUUUAUAUAUUUUAAUCCCUAUAUUGAAGUGGUGGUGGUAGCAGAUUCCAUUGAUACCUAGUUGUCUACAAAAAAGAUCAUUCUAUACUGUUCUGUUCAUGUGUAAAUAUAUAUCCUCAACCUUUUCUCUUCUACAGACAUCUCUCUUUAAACCCCAGAAAACACAGCAAUGCCAAGUGCUGUCGAAUCACCAGAGCACAAUCCAAUGAGUCAUCUCAUCAACAGCAUAUCUUCGUAUGACAGCAACAUAAUGCUUGCUGCAGUUAUAUCCCUUCUUUUAGUAAUCCUCUUUGUGUUGCUUCUCCACAUCUAUGCCAAGUGGUUCUUGGCACAAGCUCGCCAUAGAAGAAGAUCAAGUUCUGUGUCUGUGUCUCACGUUCUGCGUGCUUCAAGAUUCCACCAUUUCCAUAAUUUCACUGUUGACACAACUUUCUCUACUUCCCCUUCAAAGGGUCUUGAUAGAUCAGUCAUUUCUUCAAUUCCAUUGUUUGUUUACAAAGCAGAAGAGUGUAAACAAGGCUUAGAGUGUGUCAUUUGCUUAAGUCCCUUUGAGGAAAAUGAGGUUGGCAAGAGCUUGACAAAGUGUGGUCAUGGUUUUCAUGUUGAGUGUAUUGAUAUGUGGCUGAAUUCUCACUCUAAUUGUCCUGUUUGUAGAGCUCCUGCUGUGGGUGAUGACAAUGACAUUGCUAUUGAUGAUCUCAAGUCCACGGAGGUGAGUAGGGAGUCAACAGAUGAGAGGGGCUUGAGUGAUGGUGGGGCUUCUAGAUUGGAAAUUGUCACUGAAUUUUCAAAUUCUGAGAAUGAGAAUGGAAAUGUUGCGGUAAAUCGUGAUUGUUUAUCAGAAUCACCAUCUACUUCUUUGUCUUUGAGUUCUUCUUUGAAGAGAAUGUGUAGGAAUAGAUCAGAAAGCAAGGUAUUCCCAUCAAUUAAUGCGACUGAGCUGGAUGCUUGAGAGAUUGUCUAUGUUCACGCAGAAUGUUUGCAUUCCACAUUGUAUAGAUCUUUUGUAAAGAAAACACAGCUCAAUAAUCUUGGCCUUUUACGGGUCAGUUCUAAAAUUGGUCACACUCAUUGUUAGCUGAAGAAAACAGUAGUUUGAUCAAAGAACUGGCGUGCACCAUAUCUGUCUAUGAUCCGAAAGCUAUAUGCUUAGAACAAGGCACCGCAAGGGAAGAAUCUUGACUGAGCUGUAGCUGGUUAUGGAGUUGUGUGUGGAGCAUGGCUGUAUCCCUGACACAUAAUUGAUGCAUGGGGCUAAAUCCGUAUUAUGUCUGAUGAGUAAAUGAAAAAGUGGGUCUUAUUUCCAUCACCAAUUAAGAGGUGGGCCUAUAUGGAGAGGUAAGAGAGGACAAAUUCUCUUGUAAAGUCUUCCAUGGUUUCUGCUUGGUGUUUUGGAGUCUUGCAUUAAACAAAUGGCUACAUAUUAGCGAUUCACAAGCUUGGCCUCCCUUGUUGGUUUGUGUUUAGCUCACAAAUCCAAGAGGUCAAGGCUAACGCAAGAAACCAGAGAUGUGUACGCUUUCCGUUGAUUAGAGCUUCUGGCUUCAACUUGCCUCGUCCAUAUUUUCAGAACUCAGCUCAAUUUGUUGUUUAAGUAAGAGACAGUGGACUUAUGAUCUGUCAUUAUCGGUAGCAGGACAAAAAAAGAAGAAAGAAAGAAAAAAAAUUAUACGAGCCUUCUGAUAUUGUGUAGACAAUUUCAACACAGUAGUUUUCCUUCAAUAUAUAA